UUCUCCUUAUUUUUUGUUUCAUGUUUUUGGGCUAUGUUUGGUUUUCUGCUCGAGCCCAAGAUAUGAUCAAGUCUUUUGGAGCCCAUGUCAAGGUGAAGCCCAUAUCUAGUCUCUUUCUAAUGAAGUCGAAGAAUUGGUCCAACCUGAUCUUCUCCUUGGCGCUGCCUCUCUAGGGUUCUCUCCUCUCAGUCUUUGACAGCUGCGUACAGUGAUUGCUAGUUGUCCCGCGCCUUCCUUUUUGGUGCUCGGUUUCUAUAUUUGUUUCCUGCUCUACAAUACUAUAUAAGAAGGUUGUUGGUGGUGUUGAAGUGUAUCUCAAAUUCAGUCUACAAACACAUAUCAAGCCAAAGGGCACUUGAUCAGAUUUUUGUCCCGGAGGAGUUUCCCGAGGAGAUACCGGUUUAUAUUGAGCUGAAGUCGGGAGUACCAGCGCCUGCUCAGCCGCAGCAUCAACAGCCGCAACAACAUCAACUCGAUGAUGAUCUCCCACAACCACCGCCGUGGCCGCCCAAGUAGCUGCCACAAUACCCACAGCACGUCUUCGACGACUUGCCUCCUGCUGCAUGGGUGGUCGCUUGAGACUUUGAUCGCCGCUUCUGACGUGCUGAGCGCAAUUAGAUAUGGAGGGUUCAGACGCUGAUGGACUUAGGGGGGGGGGGGAUUGGGGGUGCUUCCACCGUCACCGUCACCACCACUAGAGGAGGACCACUAGCCUAUGUUAGUUUAGUUUUUAUUUUGUAUUAGAUAUUCAGUUAUACUUUUGUUUUGUAUGUACAAAGUGAUUAUUCGUUUUUUUA